GGGCUCUUCGUUCAAUGGAUAGGACACACCUUUGCGAAAGGUGUAAUCCGGGUUCAAUUCCCGGAGGGCCCA
rnacentral:tRNA from 1 species